UCUUAGCAUAUUAAUUAGGGGAGGAAAAGAAACUAACAAGGCCUUUCUUAGUAGCGGCGAGCGAAAAGAAAACAGUUCAGCACUAAGUCACUUUGUCUAUAUGGCAAAUGUGAGAUGCAGUGUAUGGAGCGUCAAUAUUCUAGUAUGAGAAAUUAAUGAUUUAAGUCCUUCUUAAAUGAGGCCAUUUACCCAUAGAGGGUGCCAGGCCCGUAUAACGUUAAUGAUUGCUAGAUGAUGUUUCCAAAGAGUCGUGUUGCUUGAUAGUGCAGCACUAAGUGGGUGGUAAACUCCAUCUAAAACUAAAUAUAACCAUGAGACCGAUAGUAAACAAGUACCGUGAGGGAAAGUUGAAAAGAACUCUGAAUAGAGAGUUAAACAGUACGUGAAACUGCUUAGAGGUUAAGCCCGAUGAACCUGAAUAUCCGUUAUGGAAAAUUCAUCAUUAAAAUUGUAAUAUUUAAAUAAUAUUAUUAAGAAUAAUGUGCAUUUUUUCCAUAUAAGGACAUUGUAAUCUAUUAGCAUAUCCCAAAUUUAUCAUAAAAUAUAACUUAUAGUUAUAUAUGAUAAAGUGCUGAUAGAUUUAUAUUAUUACAGAGCGUUAAUUUUUCGGAAUUUCGGAAUAUAAUGGCAUAAUUAUCAUUGAUUUUUGUGUUUAUUAUAUGCUCUUGUAUGAUUAACAAUGCGAAAGAUUCAGGAUACCUUCGGGACCCGUCUUGAAACACGGACCAAGGAGUCUAACAUAUGUGCAGUUAUUGGGAUGUAAACCUAAUAGCGUAAUUAACUUGACUAAUAAUGGGAUUAGUUUUUUAGCUAUUUAUAGCUAAUUAACACAAUCCCGGGGCGUUCUAUAUAGUUAUGUAUAAUGUAUAUUUAUAUUAUUUAUGCCUCUAACUGGAACGUACCUUGAGCAUAUAUGCUGUGACCCGAAAGAUGGUGAACUAUACUUGAUCAGGUUGAAGUCAGGGGAAACCCUGAUGGAAGACCGAAACAGUUCUGACGUGCAAAUCGAUUGUCAGAAUUGAGUAUAGGGGCGAAAGACCAAUCGAACCAUCUAGUAGCUGGUUCCUUCCGAAGUUUCCCUCAGGAUAGCUGGUGCAUUUUAAUAUUAUAUAAAAUAAUCUUAUCUGGUAAAGCGAAUGAUUAGAGGCCUUAGGGUCGAAACGAUCUUAACCUAUUCUCAAACUUUAAAUGGGUAAGAACCUUAACUUUCUUGAUAUGAAGUUCAAGGUUAUGAUAUAAUGUGCCCAGUGGGCCACUUUUGGUAAGCAGAACUGGCGCUGUGGGAUGAACCAAACGUAAUGUUACGGUGCCCAAAUUAACAACUCAUGCAGAUACCAUGAAAGGCGUUGGUUGCUUAAAACAGCAGGACGGUGAUCAUGGAAGUCGAAAUCCGCUAAGGAGUGUGUAACAACUCACCUGCCGAAGCAACUAGCCCUUAAAAUGGAUGGCGCUUAAGUUGUAUACCUAUACAUUACCGCUAAAGUAGAUGAUUUAUAUUACUUGUGAUAUAAAUUUUGAAACUUUAGUGAGUAGGAAGGUACAAUGGUAUGCGUAGAAGUGUUUGGCGUAAGCCUGCAUGAGCUGCAUUGGUACAGAUCUUAGUCGUAGUAGCAAAUAAUCGAAUGA
rfam:Drosophila sechellia strain Rob3c scaffold_8098 genomic scaffold, whole genome shotgun sequence.